GACAGAGGGUGCAAACGUUGCUCGGAAUCACUGGGCGUAAAGCGCGUGUAGGUGGCCUUGCAAGUCGGGUGUGAAAUCCCUGGGCUUAACCCAGGACGUGCAUCCGAAACUGCUUGGCUUGAGUGCCGGAGAGGGCGGUGGAAUUCCCGGUGUAGAGGUGAAAUUCGUAGAUAUCGGGAGGAACACCGGUGGCGAAGGCGGCCGCCUGGACGGCUACUGACACUGAGACGCGAAAGCGUGGGGAGCAAACAGG
rnacentral:rRNA from 1 species